rnacentral:rRNA from 1 species
AUGCCAUCCUCCUCCGGGACCUCGGAAUCCUGGUCGCCGGACGACCUCCUCGACGAACCCACCCGCGACCGAGCUGCCCGCACCAGCGCCGCCGACGCCGACGGAGGCGACGACGACCACGACGACGUCUCGGCCGACCGGGCCACCUCGCGGCUGCGUAAACCAGGAGCCCUGAAGGCCCUCUGCAAGAGGUACUCCAUCCCCGACGGCUUCGCCCCGGUCCUCGCCGGCGACCGCUCCUCGUGUUCGACGCCGCCGCCCGGGUCCGUCUGCGUGUACCUCGACUCGCUGGACGCCGGGAUGCGCCUGCCCCUCCACCCCUUCUUCGCCGAGGUGCUCAACCAUUUCGGGCUCGCCCCCGGCCAGCUAUCGCCCAACGGCUGGCGCGCCAUGGCGGGCUUCGUCGCGCUCUCCCGCUCCGCCGGCGUGGAGCCGUCGCUCGCCGUGUUCCGGCACUUCUUCGCGCUCUGCCCGUUCCCGCCGCACGGCUUCUACACCCUCCGCGGCAAGGACGCCAACGGGCUCCUCUUCGCCCGGAUUCGCGCCAAGUUUGUCAAGGGGUGGAAAGAGGAUUUCUUCUUCUUGGAGUCGUCGGCACCGUGGCCGUGCCCGGUGGAGUGGGGGGAGCCUUCCAGGUCCUCCACCUUCGAUCCGUCGCUCACCGUGCAGGAGAAGGCCGUGGCGGAGAGCCUGCUGCGUGCUCGAGGGAGUUCCCCGAUCGAUCUCUUCGCGUAUCUCCACCACCGCAACAUGGCCGCUGCCAACAUCACCGGGGUGUCAUCUCCGCCGCCGCCAACUCGUCAAGCCGCGCCUGUGCAUGUCGCCAUGGAGGAAGCCUUGGCCGCGGGCGCCUCGGCAGGGAAGGUGAAGGUGAAGGUGAAGAGCGAGCCUGGCUGCGAGGUGCCGCCUUGUGCGCCGUCGCCUGGGAAGAAGAGGAAGCUGCCGGAGGACCGCCCGGACGGCGGGAGCUCGGCGUCGUACCCCUCUUGCCCGCCGGGCUUCUCCGCCCCCAGCAAGUCACCGCCCACGACAAGCAAAGAUGGUGACUGGAAGGCGGCGAGGCGGCUGCUGCAGGGCACCGUGACGCCGUCGCGGGAGCGCGAGCUCGCCGCGUCCAAGCCCGCCGACGUCGUCGCCUCAACCUACGUGUCACUGCUCCAGACGGCGAACGAGGUGGCCUUCUCGCUGGGCUACGCUCUGGAGCUGGAGGACAAGCUGAGGGCGCGCGAGCGCAAGGCGGACGCGCUCCGGGGCGAGCUGGACAGAAAGCUGAAGGCGCGGGAGACCGAGGCGGACGCGCUGCGGGCGGAGCUGCGCAAGGCGAAGGCCGAGCUCGACGAGACGACCAAGGCGGCGGGGGCGCGGGAGGAGCUGUGCAGGAAAACGAAGGCGCGGGAGCGCGACACCGCGGAGGCGGACGCACUGCGGGCGGAGCUGCGCAAGGCGAAGGCCGUGCUCGCCGAGACCACGGCGGACGCGGGGAUCGCGGCGGCGACGGCGCGUGGGCUCCGGGACGAGCUGGACAGGAACGUGAAGGCGCGGGAGCGGGACGCCGCCGAGUCGGACGCGCUGCGGGCGGUGCUGCACGAGGCGAAGGCCGAGCUCGCCGCGACCAAGGCGGAGGCCGAGAGGGCGGCGGCCGCGCGGUGGUUCUGGGGGUCGAGCAGGGAGCACGCGCGCGCGCUGGCGGAGCGGGAGCUGCGGGGGUACGAGCGCGGCCUGGAGGACAUGAGGCGCGCCGCGCUUCAUCGCUACCCGUACCUGGACCCGUCGCUGCUCUUCGUGCCGGUCCGCGGCCCCCCGUAG